UACGUAGGGGGCAAGCGUUAUCCGGAUUUACUGGGUGUAAAGGGAGCGCAGACGGCAGUGCAAGUCUGGAGUAAAAGCCCGGGGCCCAACCCCGGAACUGCUCUGGAAACUGUGCGGCUAGAGUACUGGAGGGGCAGGCGGAAUUCCUAGUGUAGCGGUGAAAUGCGUAGAUAUUAGGAGGAACACCAGUGGCGAAGGCGGCCUGCUGGACAGUAACUGACGUUGAGGCUCGAAAGCGUGGGGAGCAAACAGG
rnacentral:rRNA from 1 species